GGCUGAGAGAUCAACUGUUCCCUUCGGGGACAGAAUGACAGGUGGUGCAUGGUUGUCGUCAGCUCGUGUCGUGAGAUGUUGGGUUAAGUCCCGCAACGAGCGCAACCCUUAUGAUCAGUUGCCAGCAUUCAGUUGGGCACUCUGGUCAGACUGCCGGUGACAAACCGGAGGAAGGCGGGGAUGACGUCAAAUCAUCAUGCCCCUUAUGACCUGGGCUACACACGUGCUACAAUGGGUGGUACAACGAGCAGCGAGACCGCGAGGUCAAGCGAAUCUCUAAAAACCAUCCUCAGUUCGGAUUGCAGGCUGCAACUCGCCUGCAUGAAGCAGGAAUCGCUAGUAAUCACGGAUCAGCACGCCGCGGUGAAUACGUUCCCGGGUCUUGUACACACCGA
rnacentral:rRNA from 1 species